GGGGAGGAGGUGACCUAUAUUCAGCUCCAAUGUUUGGCGGUAGGGUGAUGUUAUCCCAUAUUGGUGUUGGUGGUGGAGAGUUGACCAAUGGUGGAGGAGGUGGAGAGUGUGCAGGCGGUGGUGGAGAGUAGACCGGUGGUGGAGGAGAAUGGACUGGUGGGGGUGGAGAGUACACUGGUGGUGGUGGAGGUGGAGAUUGUACUGGUGGUGGUGGUGAGUAGACUGGUGGUGGAGGAGAAUGGACUGGUGGGGGUGGAGAGUACACUGGUGGUGGUGGAGGUGAAUGGACUGGUGGUGGUGGAGAUGAAUGGACUGGUGGGGGUGGAGAGUACACUGGUGGUGGUGGAGGUGAAUGGACUGGUGGUGGUGGAGAUGAAUGGACUGGUGGGGGUGGAGAGUACACUGGUGGUGGUGGAGGUGAAUGGACUGGUGGUGGUGGAGAUGAAUGGACUGGUGGGGGUGGAGAGUAAACUGGUGGUGGUGGAGGUGAAUGUACCGGUGGGGGUGGAGAGUAAACUGGUGGUGGUGGAGGUGAAUGUACCGGUGGGGGUGGAGAGUAUACUGGUGGUGGAGGUGAAUGGACAGGUGGGGGUGGAGAGUUAAUUGGCGACGGUGGUGGAGGAGAAUGAACUGAUGGUGGUGGAGGUGGAGAAUGGACCGGUGGUGGUGGAGAGUGAACUUGAACUGGUGGUGGUGGAGAGUGGACCGGUGGUGGUGGAGAGUGAACUAGAACUGGUGGUGGUGGAGAGUGAACUUGAACUGGUGGUGGUGGAGAGUGGACUGGUGGUGGUGGAGAGUGAACUUGAACUGGUGGAGGUGGAGAGUGAACUGGUGGUGGAGGAGAUUGAACUAGGUGUGGUGGCGGUGGAGAGUGGACCGGUGGAGGUGGAGAGUAAACAGGUGGUGGAGGAGAAUGAACUGGUGGAGGUGGGGAGUUAACAGGUGCAGGUGGUGAUUGAUAAACGACAGGAGGUGAUAACAUUGGUGCACUUGUUGGUGGAAUAUCUUCAACUGGUGGUAGUGUAGGUGGAAUGUCCUCAACCGGUGGCAAUGUUGGUGGAAUAUCUUCAACUGGUGGCAAAGUUGGAGGUGGCUUGGCCUUCGGUGUUGGCGGUGGCUUAGCUUUUGGAGUUGGUGGUGGUUUAGCCUUAGGUGUUGAUGGUGGUGGCUUAGUCUUUGGUGUCUCUUC
rnacentral:lncRNA from 1 species